UUAUAAGAGACAGCAGCAGCCACGGUAAUACGUAGGGUGCAAGCGUUAAUCGGAAUUACUGGGCGUAAAGCGUGCGCAGGCGGUUAUAUAAGACAGAUGUGAAAUCCCCGGGCUCAACCUGGGAACUGCAUUUGUGACUGUAUAGCUAGAGUACGGCAGAGGGGGAUGGAAUUCCGCGUGUAGCAGUGAAAUGCGUAGAUAUGCGGAGGAACACCGAUGGCGAAGGCAAUCCCCUGGGCCUGUACUGACGCUCAUGCACGAAAGCGUGGGGAGCAAACAGGAUUAGAUACCCCGGUAGUCCCUGUCUCUUAUAC
rnacentral:rRNA from 1 species